AUCUGCAUGAAACAGAAAUAAGGUUUACGGGAAAUCCUACAGUAAAGUACUUCUUGGGUAACAGGAAUGGCAGCUUGCUGAAUGUUGACCCUGGUCCGCAGGGAGCCUGCGGAGGGCUCCGUUUCCCUUGUUCACUUCCAGUCUUCUGCACAAUUCCCAUCUCUCAGAAAAUGUUUCAUAAAUAUUUGUUGAAUGAAUGAAUCGCAUUUGACAAAAUGAUAGUGCCUUCCCAACCAUUAGUGGGAGUGUGAAAGUGAGAGAUUUACUUUCUCUUAACAGAGACAGCUUUUGCCUGGAGGAAUCUGAAAUGAGUAGCUGGAUGUUCUUUACCAAUAUGAUUUUUUAACCCCUCCCCCAUACUACUUUUGAGAUUUAUUUCUGUACGACUGCAUAUGUUAGAUUAUCAAGAAGUGAAGAGAGUUGUAGUUGACAUUAACUCAGGCCAUUAUUUGCAGAACUCGGGGCAACAUGACCUGUUUUCCAUAAGGAAGCAAUCAGUCAAAAUUACGCAUGCUAUGUACAUUUCAUGCAAAGAUGGAAAAUGCGUGUUGCUCCUUUACGGUGAAGAGAGAUUUUAAUUUUAGGAGAGUAAGCUUAUUUUAGUUAAUUGUUUUGAAAGAUGUAUGUUAUUCUAAUGUGUUGUAUCAACUGGGAAGAAAAUUAUCUUUCAUAUUCCAUUUUAGUAGAUAAGGGUAUAGGAGUGCGAAACAAGGAACCGUUACAGCAAAUAUAAACCCCAACAGCGUUGAAAUAGCUUAUGACGUAUUUACUAUUACAGAAAAAAAUUUUCAGGCACCUGCAAGGUAAAAAAAAAUAAAGAUCAAACAGAUUAAUUGGGAGAUGUUCCUUUGUGAAAUAAGUUUGACCAGUCACUGUGGGAUGAUCAUUGAAAACGUGGUCAAUUUUGUGGCCUCCUUGAAUCUGGAAUGGUGUGUUUCCUAUCUGAAAGAGUACUGGAACGCUCUACUGGCCUAUGUGGCUGCCUCGGACCAAGUUCAAAUUGAUGAUGAUAGCACCAGUGUUCAAUGAGAGGCAAAGCCUUCACACUUGAGGUACCAGCUGAGGUUGACAUCUGGAGUCCUGGGCCCCUCUUCUCUAAUUGAUCUGUCUAAAGAGGGUACACCAAAGUAGCCUUGGGCUGGUAGUCGCUUUAGCCCAGCACAGGUCCUGGCGGCUAAUAGGAGCUCAGAUAUUUGUUGAAAUGAGUACGUGAUGGAUCUUAAAGUAUUGUUCAUUAGGUGAUAAAUAGUAAACGUUUUUCAUAUUUAAAACGUAUACAGGUGUACCUUGGAGGUAUAGUGGGUUCUAUUCCUGAACACUGCCAAAAACCAAGUAUCAUGAUAGAGUGAAUCAAAUGAGUUUUUGGGUUUCUCAGUUAAUAUAAAGGUUAUGUUUACACUCUGCUGUGGA